GAGGUUGUGGCUCAGUGGUAGAGCGGUUGCCUAGCAUGCGUGAGGCUCUGGGUUUGAUUCCCAGCACCACA
rnacentral:tRNA from 1 species